rnacentral:tRNA from 1 species
GGGGGUGUGGCUCAGUUGGUAGAGUGCUUGUCUGGAAUGCACGAGGUUCUGAGGUUUCCAGCACCAAAUGACUGCACCAGUGUGGUGAUUCACACAGUCUCAGCGCCGCCG